rnacentral:rRNA from 1 species
UACGGGGGGGAGCAAGCGUUGUUCGGAUUUACUGGGCGUAAAGGGCGCGUAGGCGGUCGUGACAAGUCACUUGUGAAAUCUCCGGGCUUAACUCGGAACGGUCAAGUGAUACUGUCGGACUAGAGUACAGAAGGGGCAACUGGAAUUCUCGGUGUAGCGGUGAAAUGCGUAGAUAUCGGGAAGAACACCCGUGGCGAAGGCGGUUCUCUGGGACGGUACUGACGCUGAGACGCGAAAGCGUGGGGAGCGAACAGG